CAUUAAUCAGAGCUCCUCAGGUAACACUUGAGUUUUUCUUUCUAUUUCCUAGUGAUUGUUUUCCUUCUUAUUUUGUCUACUUCUUCUGUUUCUUUGUAGGUUGUGCGUGUCUGAAUCUGUUGUUGCUUUGUGUACGUUACUGUGAGGUUUAGUUCUUAGCCUUUAGAGCUUCAAGGUGAAGCCUCUAAAGAGCUAUGGACUGAGAGCUUUAGGUGAGGGAUUUUGGCAGAGUUUUUGGGUAGUUGUUAUUGAUGAUGAGUGAAGAGGAUAAAGUUUAUAUAAGAGGGAUUUGGAGGAAAAAUUAGUUGAAAUCAGUUAGGUAUUGAUGAUUGUGAGCCCUAAGAUCAUGAUCCAUGUGAGGAGUUAAAAGGGGUUGAGAUUAUGUAAUUGCGAAUUUCUAUUAGAAAUCAUGGAUCAUAUGGAGAGAAAGCAAAGAGAAUGAAGACAACAACAAGGAUGAUGAUGGUUGGUUUGGUGAUGGGAGGCUCGAGUACGUGAGGAAGCAUGAAGGUGAUGAUGCACUAUUGCAUCUCAUUAUUUUCUGUCUUUAUAUGUAUUUGCUAUGUAAUGUAAGAUGCAAUGAAUGGUGAAAAGAAAAUUUAUGUGCACUGAACAUUUGUAUGUAUGAAAAAACUUACUUAAUAGAAGAGUUU